rnacentral:rRNA from 1 species
AUUGAACGCUGGCGGCAGGCCUAACACAUGCAAGUCGAGCGAGCGGCGCACAGGUGAGUAAUAUGUGUGAACCUCCCUCCUGUAGGGGGAUAACAACUGGAGAAGGUAGCUAAUACCCCCUACCCUCUGAUGUGCACCGAUGGGGUUAUAUAGUGGGUGGGGUAAAGGCUCACAUAGGGGACGAUCGCUAGCUGGUCUGAGAGGAUGACCAGCCACACGGGAACGGAGACACGGGCCAGACGCCAACGGGAGGAAGCAGUGGGGAAUAUUGGACAAUGGGCGCAAGCCUGAUGCAGCCAUGCCGCGUGUAUGAAGAAGGCCUUCGGGUUGUAAAGUACUUUCAGCGGGGAGGCGUUACCCGCAGAAGAAGCACCGGCUAACUCCGUGCCAGCAGCCGCGGUAAUAC